AGACACUCUCCAUCCAAUCAGUCUAAGCUUGAUCCAUCCAAGGAAGAAUGGGCAAAUAUUUCAGUCUCUAUAUGUGCAUCGCUGGUAGAGACUUGCCCCAAAAGACUUGUAGCUGUUAUAGCAGUGAAAGGUGCUGGGCUGGGAGUUUCCAAGAGUCUCAUAAGGGCUCUGCCACUGAGUACAGCUGCCUGCUGCUGGAAACAGUUGAUGAGAGCGCUGAUGCAGACUGACCAAAAUAUCAUUGAACGUGAGCUGACAGACACUGUGAAAUACUCUGUAGAGCUGAGGGGAAGUGCAGAGUAGUAACCUCUGUCCCAGUACCACCAGUCAAUAUAAAACUCUUCUUCCAAUAGCAUCAGUAUCUUCAUCACGACAAAGAGAAGCUGUACCUUCAGCUGACUGUGUUUAAAUCACAGUGUGACUCACCAGUACGACAGGCAGUCCACCCACCACAGAGUACAGGAUCACAGGCUGUAUUCGACUGUCCUGUUCAGGUCCAGGAUCUGGUUUAGUCAAAGCCGGAUCUCUG